rnacentral:rRNA from 1 species
GACGAACGCUGGCGGCGUGCUUAACACAUGCAAGUCGAGCGGAAAGGCCACUUCGGUGGUACUCGAGCGGCGAACGGGUGAGUAACACGUGAGUAAUCUGCCCCUGGCUUUGGGAUAGCCACCGGAAACGGUGAUUAAUACCGGAUACGACCACUUCUCGCAUGGGAUGGUGGGGGAAAGUUGUUUCGGCCAGGGAUGUGCUCGCGGCCUAUCAGCUUGAUGGUGAGGUAAUGGCUCACCAUGGCUUCGACGGGUAGCCGGCCUGAGAGGGUGACCGGUCACACUGGGGCUGAGACACGGCCCAGACUCCUACGGGAGGCAGCAGUGGGGAAUAUUGGACAAUGGGCGGAAGCCUGAUCCAGCAACGCCGCGUGAGGGAUGACGGCCUUCGGGUUGUAAACCUCUUUCAGCAGGGACGAAGCGCAAGUGACGGUACCUGCAGAAGAAGCACCGGCCAACUACGUGCCAGCCGCCGCCGUAA